UACGUAGGGUGCGAGCGUUGUCCGGAAUUACUGGGCGUAAAGAGCUCGUAGGGGGUUUGUCGCGUUGUUCGUGAAAACUCACAGCUCAACUGUGGGCGUGCGGGCGAUACGGGCAGACUGGAGUACUGCAGGGGAGACUGGAAUUCCUGGUGUAGCGGUGGAAUGCGCAGAUAUCAGGAGGAACACCGGUGGCGAAGGCGGGUCUCUGGGCCGAUACUGACGCUGAGGAGCGAAAGCGUGGGGAGCAAACAGG
rnacentral:rRNA from 1 species